rnacentral:rRNA from 1 species
AUUGAACGCUGGCGGCAGGCCUAACACAUGCAAGUCGAGCGGUAGCAGGCCUUCGGGCGCUGACGAGCGGCGGACGGGUGAGGAACACGUAGGAAUCUGCCUCGUAGUGGGGGAUAGCCCAGAGAAAUUUGGAGUAAUACCGCAUAUGCCCUGAGGGGGAAAGUGGGGGCCCGUAAGGCCUCACGCUCAGAGGGGAGCCUGCGUCGGAUUAGCACGUUGGUGAGGUAAGAGCUCACAAAGGCGACGGUCCGUAGCUGGUCUGAGAGGAUGCUCAGCCACACUGGGACUGAGACACGGCCCAGACUCCUACGGGAGGCAGCAGUGGGGAAUAUUGGACAAUGGGCGAAAGCCUUAUCCAGCCAUGCCGCGUGUGUGAAGAAGGCCUUCGGGUUGUAAAGCACUUUAAGUGGGGAGGAAAAGCGGUACGUGAAUAUCGUGCUGCCGUGACGUUACCCACGGAAUAAGCACCGGCAAACUCCGUGCCAGCCGCCGCUGUAACAC